GCCAGUUUGGUGUAGUGGUUUGAACACUAGCCUAUGACUCUGGAGAUGAGGGUUUGAAUCCCUGCUCAGCCA